GUCGCCUCGCCCCCGGGGCCGCACCCUGCUUCCCUGGGGAACACCCUGCCUCAGGCCUGCCUCCCCUCUUUAGAGUGAUUUGGUGGUGGAGACAUGACAUUCAUGGACUCAGAAGAACGGGAAGGAGUGAUGCUGAGUUAUAGUCUAAUUGUCACCUGCUACUUGUGGAAGGAAGAGAUGUUUGGCAUGGCACUGAUCAAUGUGUAUAUUUACUGGGAAGUUUACCCCAGGAGAAAAGAGAAAACCAGCUGUGUGAAUGGAAUUUGGAGAAAGGUAAAACCUCCUUGUAAACAACAACAAGAUCCAUGAAAUCUCUAUAGUCUUCCUGGAUAAGAAGUUGGCAAGAUUUCUGUAGACUUGGUCUUCCUUUUCACUCCUGGAAAUAAUCCAUUUAGGGCAGAGUUGAAGCACAUAAACAGAGUAAUACUUUCUCUUCUGCCUCUCUUCUGCUUAAGCAGUAGACAAUCAGCAGUUCUUUGGAUUCUCAAUUUAGUUGCAACAAAAUUCACUUUGAAAAAUAUGCUGUUGAGACACUUCAAUUACAGACUCACUUUGUA
rnacentral:lncRNA from 1 species